AACAUUCCGUUUCUCAACGUCUAGAACUUUGUCAAACGGAAUGUUUUCUUGCAGUUUGCAGUCCGUCUGGAUCUGACAUUCAGUGCAGAUGUGAGAAUAACUACCUGUGGCCGUGUGACAAGUGCGCCACCUACGGGAAAUGUGAUGAAGGCAGCGCAUGUGGAUGCAUUCAAGCCGUUCCUACAGAUGGAGAGUUCUGUCAAUCAGAACUGAACAACUCAACCGUUUGUCCGUCUACAACGAUUAUUCCUUCUCUAGAAUGUAAGUUAAAAUAAAGAGAACAAUAUAAAUAUAGUACUUUGUAAAAAAGAAAAGGUAUUUGAAUAUUGGUCUAAAUUGCGAUCGCAAGAAAAUUUGUUUAAAUUCUCAAUAGUUGCUUAUUUUCAAUGUAUUUCAUUUACUUUUGGUCAAAAUUGCAAGUAUUUAUAAUCCAGCAUUUUAGGGGAUGAUACAUUUAAAUGUAUGCAUCUUUUUAAAUACUUGCAUGUCAAUUUUCCUUUAGAUUCAUCCUCUGUUGCCAGUGAAUUCUUUACAACUACAGUAGAUGUGACUACAACUAUGACAGGUAGCUAAAAUACAGAGCAAAAUCUUUACAUAAAUUUAACAAAAUUGUAUAAAUGUGAAAAUUUCAAAAACGCCUGCAGGAGAUAUUUGUUGUUUGAAAUGUCUUUUAUAGUUUUUUUUUUUUCUUUAUUGAACAACUGUCAGCUGUCUAACAUUUAUCUUGAUAUCAAACUUACUACCAUCAUAUAAAAUGUUCCCUUUUAAUCUCACUUAUUUCAAUGUUUCACGUUUUAGAUUCUUCCACUGUUGCCGCUAAAAUCUUUUCAACUACACCAGACGUGACUACAACUAUGACAGGUAACUGAAAUACAAAAAAUUCAAAGACUUAAAACCUUUGCAUGAAUGUAAAAGUUUUAAAAUCCCUGCAUGGACAAUUUGUCAAUUGAAAUUUCAUUUUUCUACUUUUUUUUGCUAUUUUUUUUUUAAAUGUCAGAUGAAACGAUAAUAUGUUUUUAAUUGUCCCAAGAAAAUGUUCACUUUCAAUUUAAAUAAUUUUGUCUCAAUAUGUUUCAUGUUUUAGAUUCUUCCACUGUUACCACUAAAACUACACCAGAAGUGACAACAACUAUGGCAGGUAACUAAUACAUUGCAAUGAUUUUUUUUACUCAAUUUAACUAAAUUGUAUAAAUGUGAAAGUUAAAAACAUGGAAAAUGUGUUCUUUAAAAUAUCUUAAUCCAGCUUUUAGUUAUUUAAAAAUAUCUUCAACUAAAUCAGCUUAAACUGACAUCUGUGUUGAUGUCAAAGUUACUAAAUUUUUACUCACAUACAAUAUUUGCUUUUGUAUUAAUUUUGUCUCAAUGUUUUUCAUGCUUUAGAUUCAUCUUCUCUUACCACUAAAAUCUUGACAACUACACCCGAUGUGACCACACCCAGAACAGGUAACAUCUUUAUAUAACUAAGAAGACAAAUCAAAUAAAUGUUAAGUAAAUAAAUAACCCCCAACUGGAUCUAAUCUGCCUGUGUUAUGUUAUUUUGCAGAUCCUCCACCUUCUUAUGAAUAUGUUAUUUCUGUUGACCUGAACACUACAGGUGUGAUAGUAAUAAAUAGGUUUAGGAGCCUUCUGGAAAACUUCUCUUACCCAAUUAGCAUCAACGGAAACACUCAGAUCAAUCGUGCCAACAUUUCUACAGGUAAAGAGACGAGAUGUUAUCAUUUAUGUCAUUUCAUUAAAAAAACAAGUAUGAAGAUCUAAAUAUUUAUGACUGCUAUAUAGUUUCAUUCUCAAAAUGGUCAACUAAAAAUUGUUUGCUACGUGUCCAUUAAUAUUAAAAGAUCUUUUGGAAAUAAAAUGAUUUGUUUAAACAAAAAUGAAUUCAUUUUUUCCCUAU
rnacentral:lncRNA from 1 species